rnacentral:rRNA from 1 species
UACGGCGGGUGCAAGCGUUAUCCGGAUUCACUGGGUUUAAAGGGUGCGUAGGUGGGUCUGUAAGUCAGUGGUGAAAUCUCCGAGCUUAACUUGGAAACUGCCAUUGAUACUAUAGCUCUUGAAUUUUCUGGAGGUAAGCGGAAUAUGUCAUGUAGCGGUGAAAUGCUUAGAUAUGACAUAGAACACCAAUUGCGAAGGCAGCUUGCUACAGGAAUAUUGACACUGAGGCACGAAAGCGUGGGGAUCAAACAGG